rnacentral:rRNA from 1 species
GAUGAACGCUGGCGGCGUGCCUAAUACAUGCAAGUCGAGCGAACAGAUGAGGAGCUUGCUCCUCUGACGUUAGCGGCGGACGGGUGAGUAACACGUGGAUAACCUACCUAUAAGACUGGGAUAACUUCGGGAAACCAGAGCUAAUACCGGAUAAUAUAUUGAACCGCAUGGUUCAAUAGUGAAAGACGGUUUUGCUGUCACUUAUAGAUGGAUCCGCGCCGCAUUAGCUAGUUGGUAAGGUAACGGCUUACCAAGGCGACGAUGCGUAGCCGACCUGAGAGGGUGAUCGGCCACACUGGAACUGAGACACGGUCCAGACUCCUACGGGAGGCAGCAGUAGGGAAUCUUCCGCAAUGGGCGAAAGCCUGACGGAGCAACGCCGCGUGAGUGAUGAAGGUCUUCGGAUCGUAAAACUCUGUUAUUAGGGAAGAACAAAUGUGUAAGUAACUAUGCACGUCUUGACGGUACCUAAUCAGAAAGCCACGGCUAACUACGUG